AGUGAACGCUGGCGGUAGGCCUAACACAUGCAAGUCGAACGGCAGCACAGUAAGAGCUUGCUCUUACGGGUGGCGAGUGGCGGACGGGUGAGGAAUACAUCGGAAUCUACUUUUUCCUGGGGGAUAACGUAGGGAAACUUACGCUAAUACCGCAUACGACCUACGGGUGAAAGCAGUGGAUCUUCGGACCUUGCGCGAUUGAAUGAGCCGAUGUCGGAUUAGCUAGUUGGCGGGGUAAAGGCCCACCAAGGCGACGAUCCGUAGCUGGUCUGAGAGGAUGAUCAGCCACACUGGAACUGAGACACGGUCCAGACUCCUACGGGAGGCAGCAGUGGGGAAUAUUGGACAAUGGGCGCAAGCCUGAUCCAGCCAUACCGCGUGGGUGAAGAAGGCCUUCGGGUUGUAAAGCCCUUUUGUUGGGAAAGAAAAGCAGCAGGUUAAUACCCCGCUGUUCUGACGGUACCCAAAGAAUAAGCACCGGCUAACUUCGUG
rnacentral:rRNA from 1 species